rnacentral:rRNA from 1 species
CGGCGUGCCUCAUACAUGCAAGUCGAGCGGAUGUAGCAAUACAUCAGCGGCGGACGGGUGAGUAACACGUGGGCAACCUGGCCUUAAGAGGGGGAUAACGUCCCGAAAGGGACGCUAAUACCGCGUAAAUCAGCGAAACCGCAUGGUUUUGUUGGAAAAGGAGCAAUCCGCUUAAGGAUGGGCCCGCGGCCUAUUAGCUAGUUGGUAGGGUAACGGCCUACCAAGGCGACGAUAGGUAGCCGACCUGAGAGGGUGAACGGCCACACUGGAACUGAGAAACGAUCCAGACUCCUACGGGAGGCAGCAGUAGGGAAUAUUCCGCAAUGGGCGAAAGCCUGACGGAGCAACGCCGCGUGAGUGAAGAAGGUUUUCGGAUCGUAAAGCUCUGUCAACAGGGACGAAACAAGACGGUACCUGAGAAGGAAGCCACGGCAAACUACGUGCCAGCAGCCGCGGUAAUACGUAGGUGGCAAGCGUUGUCCGGAAUAACUGGGCGUAAAGCGCAUGUAGACGGCAUGAUAAGCCAAAUGUGAAAUGUAGGGGCUCAACCCCUGCACUGCGAUUGGAACUGUCAAGCUUGAGUGCAGGAGAGGCAAAUGGAAUUCCCAGUGUAGCAGUGAAAUGCGUAGAGAUUGGGAGGAACACCAGUGGCGAAGGCGAUUUGCUGGACUGCAACUGACGUUGA